UACAGAGGUCUCAAGCGUUGUUCGGAUUCAUUGGGCGUAAAGGGUGCGUAGGCGGUCGCGCAAGUCGGAUGUGAAAUCUCAGGGCUCAACCCUGAAACUGCAUUCGAUACUGCGUGGCUAGAGUGCUGGAGAGGAGACUGGAAUUUACGGUGUAGCAGUGAAAUGCGUAGAUAUCGUAAGGAAGACCAGUGGCGAAGGCGAGUCUCUGGACAGCAACUGACGCUGAGGCACGAAGGCCAGGGGAGCAAACAGG
rnacentral:rRNA from 1 species